rnacentral:rRNA from 1 species
CAACCUGCCUUUCUAGAGGGGGGUAACAAUUUGAAACAAAUGCUAAUACCGCAUAAGAUUACAGUACCGCAUGAUACAGUGAUCAAAGGAGCAAUCCGCUGAAAGAUGGGCUCGCGUCCGAUUAGAUAGUUGGUGAGGUAACGGCUCACCAAGUCGACGAUCGGUAGCCGGACUGAGAGGUUGAACGGCCACAUUGGGACUGAGACACGGCCCAG